CGCAGAGCUUCGGUCGUUGGAGCGGGCGCUGCCCAGGAUGGACAUCUGUGGUCUCAGACAGCGAUUCCCCAGGAGCAAGGGGAGCCUUGGCCUGGCCUGCACGGCUCAGGAUGGGAAAAAUCACUGAACUCCUCCCAUCUUUGCCAAGAGCUGUGGUGCUUAAGCAGCCAAAGCCAAGAGGCUUCGGCACCGGGGGUCUGCGCUGGAGGGGCUCCUGGUCCUGCCCACGCUGGGGGGUGAAUCAGAGGGAUGCGGGGUUCCUCUUUUCCCCUCUGCUGGGAUGAACUGCCUGGGGAACGCCAUUUCUGCCAGCCCGGUCCUGCCCGUGUCUGCUGGAGAAGGCAAGA